AGACCACAUGUUUACAUGUUAAGCCUUGCGGACGGGCGGGUCGGUUGCCGA
rfam:[Eubacterium] eligens ATCC 27750 chromosome, complete genome.